GCCCGGGGACGGCCCCGGGCCGUUCGCUUCAACGGGGACGACCCC
rnacentral:ncRNA from 2 species